GACGAACGCUGGCGGCGUGCUUAACACAUGCAAGUCGAACGGCAAGGCCCUGCUUUUGUUGGGUGCUCGAGUGGCGAACGGGUGAGUAACACGUGAGUAACCUGCCCUUGACUUUGGGAUAACUUCAGGAAACUGGGGCUAAUACCGGAUAGGAGCUCCUGCUGCAUGGUGGGGGUUGGAAAGUUUCGGCGGUUGGGGAUGGACUCGCGGCUUAUCAGCUUGUUGGUGGGGGAGUGGCUUACCAAGGCUUUGACGGGUAGCCGGCCUGAGAGGGUGACCGGCGACAUUGGGACUGAGAUACGGCCCAGACUCCUACGGGAGGCAGCAGUGGGGAAUAUUGCACAAUGGGCGGAAGCCUGAUGCAGCAACGCCGCGUGCGGGAUGACGGCCUUCGGGUUGUAAACCGCUUUCGCCUGUGACGAAGCGUGAGUGACGGUAAUGGGUAAAGAAGCACCGGCUAACUACGUG
rnacentral:rRNA from 1 species